GGGGUUGUGGCUCAAUGGUAGAGCGCUUGCUUCACAUGUGCAGGACCCUGGGUUCAAUCCUCAGCACCA
rnacentral:tRNA from 1 species